GUACCAAUAAAAGUUAUUACUACAAAAAAAAAAGAAAGAGGGGAAAUUAUAAAGAUCAGGGCAGAAAUCAAUGCAAUGGAGAAUAAGAGAACAAUACAAAAAUCAAUCAACAAUGCAAUGGAGAAUAAGAGAACAAUACAAAAAAAAUCAAUCAAAGAGUUGGUUUUUUUCAAAGAAUAAAUAAAAUCGAUAAACCUUUAGCCAAUCUUAUCAAAAAAGGGAAAGAAAAGGCACAAAUACAUGCAAUUAAUAAUGAAAAAGGUGGAUGGCGACCGCGCGCUGGCCCGGUCUUGGUGGGGCGUGAGUGAGGUCGCUGGCUGGAACACGGGUGCUGGUGGAACGCCGCGGGGCCAGACACACUGUCGGAGUCUGGAGACGAGAAAGCCUCUUCUAGCAGCCGCCCAUCAUAUUGGGGAUCCCUGGGCCUGGAGCCAUCAUCUCGAGGGUCCCGGGACCGGUAGCGGGAUCUGGGGUCAGCAGGAGGGCGGUCCCUACUAGACUUGAAGUCAUCACAAUGGGGAUCUCCAGAGUGUGGGAAGUCCCUCGAGACGUCUGGGUUGAAGAGGUCAUCACGGCUGCGGCUUCGAGGGGGUGCAUAGGCCCUUCCUCUCCUCCCGCUACUUGCAGGAGACCUUGCAGAUUCUGCGGAACCUGGCUGGGACUCUCAUGGAAUCAUCCUGCUGAUUGGCCUGGAUCCGGUAGCCACUACGGACUUCUAGAGACAGAGGCGGAAAUGACCAGGACCCCUGAAGCCAGGGGACAUCAGCUUACUGAGUCCCAUCUCCUACGUCAUUCCUGAAAGAGCUUUUGGAAUAGAGUGCACACUGGUGGCCCACAGCCCCGAUCUCGCAGGCCAAUAUAUUUAACGUGACGGUAGUUUGCCAACAUUUGACAAUCAAAAGGUUUUACACAGAACUCCAACUUUCCAGAUACCUUAGCAAUAAAUGCCUCUGCCCUGGAAAAAAAAAAAAAAGAAUGAAAAAGGUGAAGUCACAACAGAUCCAACAGAAAUCCAGAGGAUCAUCAAUACAUACUUUAAGAACCUCUACUCCAAUAAAAUGGAAAUCACAAAAUAAAUGGGCAGAUUCCUAGAUACAUACAAAUUGCCAAAGUUAAAUGAAGAAGAUAUAGAAAUUCUAAACACCCCAAUUACAAUGAGUGAAAUUGAAAAUGUAAUAAAAUAUUUACCAACAAAGAAAAGCCCAU
rnacentral:lncRNA from 1 species